rnacentral:rRNA from 1 species
GACGAACGCUGGCGGCGUGCCUAAUACAUGCAAGUCGAACGCUGAAGGAGGAGCUUGCUUCUCUGGAUGAGUGGCGAACGGGUGAGUAACGCGUAGGUAACCUGCCUUUUAGCGGGGGAUAACUAUUGGAAACGAUAGCUAAUACCGCAUAAGAGUAGAUGUUGCAUGACAUUUGCUUAAAAGGUUCAAUUGCAUCACUACCAGAUGGACCUGCGUUGUAUUAGCUUGUUGGUGUGGUAACGGCUUACCAAGGCGAGGAUACGGAGCAGACAUGAGAGGGGGAGUGGCCAGCCUGGGACGGAGACACGGCCCAGACGGCUUCGGGAGGCAGCCGGAGGGAAACUGCGGCAAGGGGCGGAAGACUGAGCGAGCAACGCCGCGGGAGUGAACAAGGUUUUCGGAUCGUAAAGGUCGGUUGUAAGGGAAGAAAGAGUGUGAGAGUGGAAAGUUCACACUGUGACGGUAUCUUAUCAGAAAGAGACGGCUAACUACGUG